rnacentral:rRNA from 1 species
GUCGAGGCGCUGUGCGAUCUAACAGCGAGCGGAACCCUGGUAGUCCACGCCGUAAACGAUGUCGACUUGGAGGUUGUGCCCUUGAGGCGUGGCUUCCGGAGCUAACGCGUUAAGUCGACCGCCUGGGGAGUACGGCCGCAAGGUUAAAACUCAAAUGAAUUGACGGGGGCCCGCACAAGCGGUGGAGCAUGUGGUUUAAUUCGAUGCAACGCGAAGAACCUUACCUGGUCUUGACAUCCACAGAACUUUCCAGAGAUGGAUUGGUGCCUUCGGGAACUGUGAGACAGGUGCUGCAUGGCUGUCGUCAGCUCGUGUUGUGAAAUGUUGGGUUAAGUCCCGCAACGAGCGCAACCCUUAUCCUUUGGGCCCCAGCGGGUGGACGU